rnacentral:rRNA from 1 species
CCUACGGGAGGCAGCAGUGAGGAAUAUUGGUCAAUGGGCGGAAGCCUGAACCAGCCAAGUCGCGUGAGGGAUUAAGGCCCUGCGGGUCGUAAACCUCUUUUGCCGGGGAGCAGAGGUCCGGACGUGUCCGGGCCGGGAGAGUACCCGGAGAAAAAGCAUCGGCUAACUCCGUGUCAUCAGCCGCGGUAAUACGGAGGAUGCGAGCGUGAUCCGGAUUUAUUGGGUUUAACGGGUGCGUAGGCGGGCAUUUAAGCCGGCGGUCAAAUGUCGGGGCUCAACCCCGGCCUGCCGUCGGAACUGGGUGCCUUGAGUGGGCGAGAAGUAUGCGGAAUGCGUGGUGUAGCGGUGAAAUGCAUAGAUAUCACGCAGAACCCCGAUUGCGAAGGCAGCAUACCGGCGCCCUACUGACGCUGAGGCACGAAAGUGCGGGUAUCGAACAGGAUUAGAUACCCCUGUAGUC